rnacentral:rRNA from 1 species
UACGAAGGGUGCGAGCGUUAAUCGGAAUUACUGGGCGUAAAGCGCGCGCAGGCGGUGAUGUAAGACAGUUGUGAAAUCCCCGGGCUCAACCUGGGAACUGCAUCUGUGACUGCAUCGCUGGAGUGCGGCAGAGGGGGAUGGAAUUCCGCGUGUAGAAGUGAAAUGCGUAGAUAUGCGGAGGAACACCGAUGGCGAAGGCAAUCCCCUGGGCCUGCACUGACGCUCAUGCACGAAAGCGUGGGGAGCAAACAGG